rnacentral:SRP_RNA from 2 species
GCCAGGCGUGGUGGUGCACGCCUGUAAUCCCAGCUACUCGGGAGGCUGAGGCAGGAGAAUUGCUUGAACUCGGGAGGCGGAGGUUGUGGUGAGCUGAGAGUGCACCACUAAGCUCCAGCCUGGGUGACAGAGCAAGACUCUGUCCCCC